GAUGAACGCUGGCGGCGUGCCUAAUACAUGCAAGUCGAGCGAACAGACGAGGAGCUUGCUCCUCUGACGUUAGCGGCGGACGGGUGAGUAACACGUGGAUAACCUACCUAUAAGACUGGGAUAACUUCGGGAAACCGGAGCUAAUACCGGAUAACAUGUUGAACCGCAUGGUUCAACAGUGAAAGACGGUCUUGCUGUCACUUAUAGAUGGAUCCGCGCCGCAUUAGCUAGUUGGUAAGGUAACGGCUUACCAAGGCAACGAUGCGUAGCCGACCUGAGAGGGGGAACGGCCCACACUGGACUGGAACACGGUCCCGGUCCCUAAGGGAAGCAAGAGGAGGGAAACUUCCGGAAUGGGGGGAAGGCCGGCGGGGGAAACGCGCGGUGGGUAAGGAGGGUCUCGGGUCGGUAAACCCCGGUAUUAGGGAAAAACAAAAUUGGAAGUAACUAAUCAAGGCUUGACGGUACCUAAAUAGAAAGCCACGGCUAACUACGUU
rnacentral:rRNA from 1 species